ACCCUGGUGGCAUAGUGGUUAAGUGCUUUGGCUGCUAACCAAAAGGUCAGCAGUUCAAAUCUACCAGGCGUU
rfam:Loxodonta africana unplaced genomic scaffold scaffold_39, whole genome shotgun sequence.